CCUGUGUGAGCUCCUCUUCUCUCUGCCGAGCUCUGUGCAGCUCCUGCUCCAGUUGACUGACAGCUCUGCUGCUCUCAGAGCUGCUUAGCAACGCCUGUUCCAGCUCCCUAAUUCGCCCAGCCAGCUUGUCAAUCUCCUCAUUGCGCUCAGCAACCUCGAGCUGGACCUGUUGAUUGGCUGCCAGCAGGGAGGUGUGGUCUUCUGUCUUGUCCCUGAUGAGAGCUUGAAGGCUCUCCACCUGAGAAAGAAACAGGGGAGUAAUGUUGGUUCUGAGGGCUCCAGUUGCCGGGUGACUAUGGGGUUUCCCAUGUUAAGCUAUACGACGGGUUAACUAAAGCCAUUCCGGGUCUGCAGCCACUACAACAACUGAAGCCAUGCGACAGAGCAGCAACACACAGCACAGAGGGAUGGAAGAAAAGGGAGAGGAGGAUGAUAGAGCGAGAUGGAGAAAAGGGGAUGGCGAGAUGAAAAGGAGAGAGACGGAGCGGCACUAACGGCAGAUGCAUCUUCAAUGAUUAUGUAACAGUUAUUCACGCAGUGUGUAGGUCCUCAGUAAGCAUGUUGAGGAGGUUGCCUCCCUCCUGACUCUCUCGUUCUCGCCGUUGGAGGAGUGUAUCCAGGGUCUCCAUCUCCGAUCUCUUCCCCUCCAACUCCCCCUGUAGACUACCCACCUCCGCUCGCAGCUAGAGAGAGAGAGCGAGAGAGUGAGAGAGUGUCAUAGCACAGAGUACUGAUACAAAGACAGAGACACAGACAAAGACAGACACAAACCUCAGUUUGCAGCUGAGAGCCAGAGAGAAGAGAAACCAGAGACAGGAAACAAGUCAUCACUAGACGUGAUCAAAGAAUUGUCCUCCCAGUCAUAGAUACCACAGUUGCAUUCAACAUCACACUCCCUUUACAUAACAGGACCAAAAGCAGAACCAUGUGUCUUGUAAUGCCCAAUCAGAGAAAGAGAAAUGAACAAUCUCCAUAUUCAGUCACCAUUAGUUUGAUAUUUGCCUGUUUAGCC
rnacentral:lncRNA from 1 species